AGAAAAAGUUUCACGGAAAAAAUGACCUCCACCCCAAAAUAGAAUGAAAAGCAGAGAUAAAUCAACCGAGAAAAAGGACAUGGGAUUUGGAGACGCGUUGUCAGGGUGGAAUAUAUUUCUACAGGUCGCAGAAACGAGACUGGAAAAAUAUCAGCACAAAUGUGAUGAGUUGGAGGUGCAACACAAGGACUUCUCCUCUCAGUACUUUACUGUUGAGAAGGACAUGGGGCUCUACGUGAAGUGCUCACUGGCCCAGAAGGAGGAUGAGCUCACAGACCUGUCAGAGCAACUGGGGGGACUGCAGCAGGCCAAGGACACCUUUUGAGCUGCAGCUCAGUCAACUCCGCCAAGAGUUGCAGGAGAACAAGGACAAGCUCACCUUUGAGAACAUGGUUCUUGCGGGUAAGCUGGAAGCUCCGGAGGAGUCCCGUGUGCAGAAGGAGGAGCUGAUGGCCCGCCUGGAGGAGCAGCUCGGGAAGUAGAGGCGGGAGCAUCACACAGUCGACUACAGCCUAGAGAGGAAGGCCGUGCUGGACAGCGACAGGUCAGUGCC